rnacentral:misc_RNA from 1 species
UCCGAUUUGUCACCGGCAGUCCCCCAUGAGUCCCCGGCAUUACCUGGGCUAGAAUGCCUCUGGAGUUGUCAGAGGCAUUCUAGCCCAGGUAAGGUUCUUCGCGUUGCGUCGAAUUGAACCACAUGCUCCACCGCUUGUGCGGGUCCCCGUCAAUUCCUUUGAGUUUCAGUCUUGCGACCGUACUCCCCAGGCGGGAUGCUUAACGCGUUAGCUGCGGCACCCGGAGACUAUAUAACUCCAGACACCAAGCAUCCAUCGUUUAAGGCCAGGACUA